AACGAACGCUGGCGGCGUGCCUAACACAUGCAAGUCGAGCGAGAAAGUCCCUCGGGAGCGAGUAAAGCGGCGAACGGGUGAGUAACACGUAGGUAACCUACCCUCGAGUCCGGGAUAACCUGUCGAAAGAUGGGGCUAAAUACUGGAUACGACUGCGGGAGCGUCAGCUCUUGCGGUGAAAGGUGGCCUCUGCUUGCAAGCUAUCACUCAUGGA
rnacentral:rRNA from 1 species